AGAGUUUGAUCCUGGCUCAGGACGAACGCUGGCGGCGUGCUUAACACAUGCAAGUCGAACGAUGAAAGCAGGAGCUUGCUCUUGCCGGAUUAGUGGCGAACGGGUGAGUAACACGUGAGCAAUCUGCCCCUGACUCUGGGAUAAGCGUUGGAAACGACGUCUAAUACCGGAUACGAGCUAAGGCCGCAUGGCCAUUAGUUGGAAAGAAUUUCGGUCAGGGAUGAGCUCGCGGCCUAUCAGCUAGUUGGUGAGGUAAUGGCCCACCAAGGCGACGACGGGUAGCCGGCCUGAGAGGGUGACCGGCCACACUGGGACUGAGACACGGCCCAGACUCCUACGGGAGGCAGCAGUGGGGAAUAUUGCACAAUGGGCGCAAGCCUGAUGCAGCAACGCCGCGUGAGGGACGAAGGCCUUCGGGUUGUAAACCUCUUUUAGCAGGGAAGAAGCGAAAGUGACGGUACCUGCAGAAAAAGCACCGGCUAACUACGUGCCAGCAGCCGCGGUAAUACGUAGGGUGCAAGCGUUGUCCGGAAUUAUUGGGCGUAAAGAGCUCGUAGGCGGUUUGUCGCGUCUGCUGUGAAAAUCCGAGGCUCAACCUCGGACCUGCAGUGGGUACG
rnacentral:rRNA from 1 species